AAACAGAAGGAUUUUGUCCCAAAUGAUGAAGUUUGGGCAGAUUUUUGUUGAGUUCCUGACCAGAAAAAAUGCUACAAUUAAAGAAGGUUGUUUUCUAUUUAUGGUGAGCUAAAACUGAGGGAAUGUUAGUUUCUUUCCAAGUGUUGAUGGUGGAUUUGUUUUGGAACCAACACUACACUGCAAAAUCAAUCUGGAGAGACUCAGGCAGAGACAGGUGGAGAAGGGGCAGAGGUGGGUUGAGUGCAGCCAGAAAGCGGAAGAUGCCAUGGAUGGAGUUCCUUAUCAACAGGGGCUUGGUCGGUGAUUGGCCGUGACGUGGCUUGGUCCAGUGUUGACAGGUCGUCCAUGAUGAGGGAGACGCACUGAUUGGAUGUUGCAGUGAAGCUGACGAGUGACUGAAAGGUACACAGCUGCCAGUGCUGCAGAAACCCCAUAUCAUCACUCCUCUACCAUCAUGCAUAACAGUUUGAAUGAGUAACUAGUUCUGAUAUGUGCUAUGAAUUGUGGAGGUCGCUGACCUGGCUGUCUGUCUCUGAACGAGCCUCCUCUCUCAAUGAUGCGGCUCAGAGGCGGCGGCGCACCAGCAACCCUGGGUGAUCCGGG